GCCGCUGGCCCCGACGCCACCGCCCAAAACCCCGCCAGGCCGGAAACGGAGCAACGGUAUGGGACGGAGCGGGUGGGGCUGGCUUAAAA
rnacentral:SRP_RNA from 1 species